AAUAGAUACCCCCGGUAGUCCAUGCCGUAAACGUUGGGGCACUGGGUGUGGGGGCUCAUUUCCACGAGUUCCGUGCCGCAGCAAACGCAUUAAAGUGCCCCGGCCUGGGGAGUACGGCCGCAAGGCUAAAACUCAAAGGAAUUGACGGGGGCCCGCACAAGCGGCGGAGCAUGCGGAUUAAUUCGAUGCAACGCGAAGAACCUUACCAAGGCUUGACAUGCACGGGAAGCCACCAGAGAUGGUGGUCUCUUUGGGACACUCGUGCACAGGUGGUGCAUGGUUGUCGUCAGCUCGUGUCGUGAGAUGUUGGGUUAAAGUCCCGCAACGAGCGCAACCCUCGUCCCAUGUUGCCAGCGGGUUAUGCCGGGGACUCAUGGGAGACUGCCGGGGGUCAACUCGGAGGAAGGUGGGGGAUGACGUCAAAUCAUGAUGCCCCCUUAUGUCUUGGGCUUCACGCAUGCUACAAUGGCCGGGUACAAAGGGCUGCGAUACCGUAAGGUGGAGCGAAUCCCAAAAAGCCGGUCUCAGUUCGGAUUGGGGU
rnacentral:rRNA from 1 species